rnacentral:rRNA from 1 species
AUGGCGAAGCUCCCACCCGAGGGGACUGCAAGGGCGGUCGCCGGUGCCGCAGGGGAUGAAGCAUCCACCAUCGCGGCCGCAUCGUGUCGUGUAGCAGCAACCCCCGUCGUCACCAGCGUUGCUUUGCCCAUCAUCAUCGCAUGCUUCAUCGCGGCAAUGGCGUCCGCCGUCGGGCUACGAUGGAGCGCCAACAAGCGGUGGCGGCGGCGCUGCAGUGCAACUCCGUCGGCGGCGCCGUCGGGGUGCUACGGUGGAGUCCGCCGUGCCGGUGCGAGCUGCAGUGAAACAUCGUCGGUGGCGUCGGGUGCUGAGAUGGAGCCUCGAUGGAGCACUUCCGCGUUGGCGUCAACGCUGCAGCGAAGCAUCGCCGGCGACGGUGGGUGCUGUGAUGGAGCGCCACAGGGGGGGAGGGGGCGUUGA